rfam:Tetrasphaera japonica T1-X7 genomic scaffold, 1540_scaffold1
UGAGUCGGCCAGGCGGUCGCGUCAGGGCUUCGGCCCUGCCGAGGAACGUCCGGGCUCCACAGGGCAAGGUGGUGGCCAACAGCCACCCGGGGCGACCCGCGGGACAGUGCCACAGAGAACAGACCGCCGUCCGCACGGCCUCGGCCGGACGGGCGGCAAGGGUGAAACGGUGGUGUAAGAGACCACCAGCGACCUGGGUGACCAGGUCGGCUCGGUAAACCCCACCCGGAGCAAGCUCAGACAGUGUGCGUUCGAGGGCGGCCCGUCCGAGCACACGGGUAGAGCGCUGGAGGCGGUCGGCAACGGCCGUCCUAGAUGGAUGACCGCCACCGCGCCGCCGGCAACGGCGACGCGGGACAGAACCCGGCGUAUCGGCCGACUCAUCCA